CUUGGUGGUAGUAGCAAAUACUCCAGCGAGGCCCUGGAGGACUGACGUGGAGAAGGGUUUCGUGUGAACAGCAGUUGAACACGAGUCAGUCGAUCCUAAGCCCUAAGAGAAAUCUUAUAUUCAUAUGGUGUCACAAAUAAUAUUAUAAAAAAAAACACACCUAUUGGGCGAAAGGGAAUCCGGUUUCUAUUCCGGAACCCGGCAGCGGAACCGUAUACAAUUCGUUCACUCGUAAGAGUGUUCGUCGGGGUAACCCAAAAUGACCUGGAGACAUCGACAGGAAGUCCGGAAAGAGUUUUCUUUUCUGUAUAAGCGUUCAAGUUCCCUGGAAACUUUUAGCAAGGAGAUAGGGUUUGGAACGCGAAGAGCACCGCAGUUGCAGUGGUGUCCGGAUCUUCCUCUCGGACCUUGAAAAUCCAGGAGAGGGACACGUGGAGGUGUCGCGCCGGUUCGUACCCAUAUCCGCAGCAGGUCUCCAAGGUUAAGAGCCUCUAGUCGAUAGGAUAAUGUAGGUAAGGGAAGUCGGCAAAAUGGUUCCGUAACUUUGGAAUAAGGAUUGGCUCUGAGGAACGGGGCGUGUCGAGCUUGACAGGAAAGUAAGUUGACUGACGUGCCGGGCCUGGGCGAAAUGAUUGGUGUUCACGUAUCAGGAUUUGAGCUCGGUCCCGUGCUUUGGUCUCUCAUGGAUCUUUCUUGCUAUAAGAUUAUAUUGAUGUGAAAGCAUUGUUAUAAUUCUUUUCAAUCGUCAUUUAACGUUCACCUCAGAACUGGCACGGUCCAGGGGAGCCCGACUGUCUAAUUAAAACAAAGCAUUGUGAUGGCCCUUACAAGUGUUGACACAAUGUGAUUUCUACUCAGUACGAUAAAUGUCAAUGUGAAGAAAUUUAUUUAAGCGCUCGUAAACAGCAGGAGUAACUAUUACUCUUUUACUGGUGUGACGUGUUUUUACAUGCUCCGUGUCUUUAAACUGUUUUGUGUCAUGAAAGUGGUUUAAGUUAGUACUGAGUGUGUUCAUUUAUUGCAGAAAUUUAUUCUGAUCAUUUUGUGAUAAUAAACUCAUAAUGGCGUGCAGUAAUUGCAGUAAAACAAUAAUGUAAAGUUGUUUAUAAUUAUUGGGAUUUUGCAUGGUUAGACAGCUGAUAUUCAUUUUUUUUUAUUUUGCGCGACCAAAGCGCAGUGAGGGCAAAGAGAACUUACUUCAAUAGCUCAAAUAAUAAUUAGACAUUGUGUAGACAUCUAGUGGUUGUGAUCAUCAUCUUUGCUACUGGUGCCAACUGGCCUGAGUAGUGUCCGGCAACUUGCCUGCAAAUAGGUAAGUUGCCAUCACUACGGUCGAUGAGUUACC
rnacentral:rRNA from 1 species